AUUGAACGCUGGCGGCAGGCCUAACACAUGCAAGUCGAACGAGUGGCGGACGGGUGAGUAAUGUCUGGGAAACUGCCUGAUGGAGGGGGAUAACUACUGGAAACGGUAGCUAAUACCGCAUACCAUCAGAUGUUCCCAGAUGGGAUUGGCUAGUUGGGGGGGUAACGGCUCACCAAGGCGACGAUCCCUAGCUGGUCUGAGAGGAUGACCAGCUACACUGGAACUGAGACAGGGUCCAGACGCCUACGGGAGGCAGCAGUGGGGAAUAUUGCACAAUGGGCGCAAGCCGGAUGCAGCCAUGCCGCGGGUAUGAAGAAGGCCUUCGGGUUGUAAAGGACUUUCAGCGGGGAGGCGGUACCCGCAGAAGAAGCACCGGCUAACUCCGUGCCAGCAGCCGCGGUAAUUC
rnacentral:rRNA from 1 species